rnacentral:rRNA from 1 species
CCUACGGGUGGCUGCAGUCGAGAAUCUUCGGCAAUGGGCGCAAGCCUGACCGAGCGACACCGCGUGCGGGAUGAAGGCCUUCGGGUUGUAAACCGCUGUCGUAGGGGAGGAAGGUCCGGUGUAGAGCCGGGCUUGACCGAUCCUAGGAGGAAGGGCCGGCUAAUCUCGUGCCAGCAGCCGCGGUAAUACGAGAGGCCCAAACGUUAUUCGGAUUUACUGGGCUUAAAGAGUUCGUAGGCGGCGCGGAAAGUAGGGUGUGAAAGCCCUCGGCUCAACCGAGGAACUGCGCUCUAAACUGCCGUGCUUGAGGAACCUAGAGGUGAGCGGAACUGAUGGUGGAGCGGUGAAAUGCGUUGAUAUCAUCAGGAACACCGGAGGCGAAGGCGGCUCACUGGGGGUUAUCUGACGCUGAGGAACGAAAGCCAGGGGAGCAAACGGGA